ACGGAAGGCAGCAGUGGGGAAUAUUGCACAAUGGGGGAAACCCUGAUGCAGCGACGCCGCGUGAGUGAAGAAGUAUUUCGGUAUGUAAAGCUCUAUCAGCAGGAAAGAAAAUGACGGUACCUGACUAAGAAGCCCCGGCUAACUACGUGCCAGCAGCCGCGGUAAUACGGAGGGGGCAAGCGUUAUCCGGAUUUACUGGGUGUAAAGGGAGCGUAGACGGCUUUGCAAGUCUGAAGUGAAAGCCCGGGGCUCAACCCCGGAACUGCUUUGGAAACUGUAGAGCUAGAGUGCAGGAGAGGUAAGUGGAAUUCCUAGUGUAGCGGUGAAAUGCGUAGAUAUUAGGAGGAACACCAGUGGCGAAGGCGGCUUACUGGACUGUAACUGACGUUGAGGCUCGAAGGCGUGGGGAGCAAACAGGAUUAGAUACCCUGGUA
rnacentral:rRNA from 1 species